rnacentral:rRNA from 1 species
AUGGUGACUUCGGAUUCCUCCCCUUCGGUCGUGAUCUCACAGGUGCAGCCGAUGGUGCCGGCUGCUGAUGGGGGCGUUGGGCAGGUGGCCUCGAUGCCCUCAUCAGGGUCUGCGGUGGGUGAGCUACCGAUGGUGCAGAUUGAUUCUUCGGGAGGGAGGCCGAGGCUGCUAGAUCCGGCACCUUCCUCACCAUUUACCGGGCUGGCGACGCUGGCGCCGGAGUCGCUUCUCGGAGAGGACUCGGGGCACGUGGCCUCAGGGUCCUCUUCUCUUGUGGAGCCCAGAGGGGCUUGCUCGCUGACGACGCCGGUGCCGCUAGUUGGCCGUUGGGCCGGGGUGGAUGGGGAGCUCGGGCAGGAGGCCCUGGUUCCACCUUCCCCCGGCUUGGUGUUCUCGAGUGCAGCUACUUGGGAGGAGGUGAUUGCGUUCGGUGGUAUUUCGGAUCCGGUCUCUGAGGGGCGACGGUUGAGUAGCCGUCUCCAAGACCAUCCGAAAGUGGACGACAUUCAGCAGCGGUGCGCUAUGAGGGCGGCCAAGCUUCGUGACAUGGAGGUCACGACUGGUAUGUCGGUCAAUACCUCUAACUCUAUUUUGCAUUUUUCGAAUGAUGAGAUUAUCAAUAAUGCAAAUCAGCUAGGAAUUUCACUAGGUAGUAAUGAUAGUGAAAUCUCAACCUCGGUUAAUGAUAUGCUGGAUCUAGAGGCCGAACGGGCGCUUGCGAUGAUUCGUAACCUAGCUGCGGUCAAACCCAUGAAUGAUUCUGAUAUCGACGCUUUAGGGGUCAGGGCACUCGAUAAUCUUUGUGCGGGUCUGGCUCAACCGUCUCCUGAGCCUGAGGAGGAGGAUGAGCGAGUGGACAAUGUGGAAAUGCGCACCUCUGUGACUAGUUGUGAGGACCAGCUGGAGAGUUUCAAUGCUCCUAAACGCAAAUGGAAGCGGACGAUCUACCCGGUUUCCGCAGUGCGUAGGAGCGCUCGGAUACAAACAGCUAAAAAAUUCCAUGACGAGAUAUGA